UUCGCAAUGCCCGAAAGGGUGACGAAGCGACGCCGCGUGUGGGAAGAAGGCCUUCGGGUUGUAAACCACUGUCGGGAGUUAAGAAAUGCAAGAAUGUUAAUAGCGUUUUUGCUUGACUAAGGCUCCGGAGGAAGCCACGGCUAACUCUGUGCCAGCAGCCGCGGUAAUACAGAGGCGGCAAGCGUUGUUCGGAAUUAUUGGGCGUAAAGAGCACGUAGGCGGCUAUGUAAGUCGGUUGUGAAAGCCUUCCGCUCAACGGAAGAACAGCAUCCGAUACUACAUGGCCUGAGUGCGGGAGGGGAGAGUGGAACUUCUGGUGGAGCGGUGAAAUGCGUAGAUAUCAGAAGGAACGCCGGCGGCGAAAGCGGCUCUCUGGCCCAUAACUGACGCUGAGUGUGCGAAAGCUAGGGGAGCAAACGGGAUUAGAUACCCCGGUAGUCCUAGCCGUAAACGAUGGGCACUAAGUAGAGGGGUUUU
rnacentral:rRNA from 1 species